rnacentral:rRNA from 1 species
UACGUAGGGUGCAAGCGUUGUCCGGAAUUAUUGGGCGUAAAGAGCUCGUAGGCGGUUUGUUGCGUCGGCUGUGAAAUCCCGAGGCUCAACCUCGGGUCUGCAGUCGAUACGAGCAAACUAGAGUGUUGCAGGGGAGACUGGAAUUCCUGGUGUAGCGGUGAAAUGCGCAGAUAUCAGGAGGAACACCGAUGGCGAAGGCAGGUCUCUGGGCCGCUACUGACGCUGAGAAGCGAAAGCAUGGGGAGCGAACAGG